rnacentral:lncRNA from 1 species
CGUCUUUCUGAACUCCCCCGACUAUCCGAGCUUCCAUAAUACUAUCCGGACUUCUCCGAUAAUGAGCUCCUCUAUUCAUAUACCAGACUGCUCCAAAUACUCUCCGAGCUUCAUUAUCAGCCGACUUUCUACAAUGAUCGGCUACCCUCUGAAUCUCUUCCAGACUUCUUCCUGCCAUGAACGACUUUACUCCGAACUUCUUCCGGACUUCGUCAAUGUCCGAGCUUCUCCAGCAGCAGGAUCUCUACAGUAACCAGACUCCAUCCAAGUUUCUACG